rnacentral:rRNA from 1 species
GAUGAACGCUGGCGGCGUGCCUAAUACAUGCAAGUCGAGCGAACGGACGAGAAGCUUGCUUCUCUGAUGUUAGUGGCGGACGGGUGAGUAACACGUGGAUAACCUACCUAUAAGACUGGGAUAACUUCGGGAAACCGGAGCUAAUACCGGAUAAUAUUUUGAACCGCAUGGUUCAAAAGUGAAAGACGGUCUUGCUGUCACUUAUAGAUGGAUCCGCGCUGCAUUAGCUAGUUGGUAAGGUAACGGCUUACCAAGGCAACGAUGCAUAGCCGACCUGAGAGGGUGAUCGGCCACACUGGAACUGAGACACGGUCCAGACUCCUACGGGAGGCAGCAGUAGGGAAUCUUCCGCAAUGGGCGAAAGCCUGACGGAGCAACGCCGCGUGAGUGAUGAAGGUCUUCGGAUCGUAAAACUCUGUUAUUAGGGAAGAACAUAUGUGUAAGUAACUGUGCACAUCUUGACGGUACCUAAUCAGAAAGCCACGGCUAACUACGUG